rnacentral:rRNA from 1 species
AGUGAACGCUGGCGGUAGGCCUAACACAUGCAAGUCGAACGGCAGCACAGUAAGAGCUUGCUCUUACGGGUGGCGAGUGGCGGACGGGUGAGGAAUACAGCGGAAUCUACUUUUUCGUGGGGGAUAACGUAGGGAAACUUACGCUAAUACCGCAUACGACCUACGGGUGAAAGCAGGGGAUCUUCGGACCUUGCGCGAUUGAAUGAGCCGAUGUCGGAUUAGCUAGUUGGCGGGGUAAAGGCCCACCAAGCCGACGAUCCGUAGCUGGUCUGAGAGGAUGAUCAGCCACACUGGAACUGAGACACGGGCCAGACUCCUACGGGAGGCAGCAGUGGGGAAUAUUGGACAAUGGGCGCAAGCCUGAUCCAGCCAUACCGCGUGGGUGAAGAAGGCCUUCGGGUUGUAAAGCCCUUUUGUUGGGAAAGAAAAGCAGCAGGUUAAUACCCCGCUGUUCUGACGGUACCCAAAGAAUAAGCACCGGCUAACUUCGUG